GUGGGGAAUCUUGCGCAAUGGGCGAAAGCCUGACGCAGCAACGCCGCGUGGGGGAUGAAGGCUCUCGGGUUGUAAACCCCUUUCAGCAGGGACGAAUCAAGACGGUACCUGCAGAAGAAGCUCCGGCUAAAUUCGUGCCAGCAGCCGCGGUAAUACGAAUGGAGCGAGCGUUGUUCGGAAUCACGGGGCGUAAAGCGUGCGCAGGCGGUUUUGAAAGUUAGAAGUGAAAGCCCAGGGCUUAACCUUGGAAUUGCUUUUAAAACUUCAAGACUAGAGUACUGGAGAGGUUAGCGGAAUUCCGAGUGUAGAGGUGAAAUUCGCAGAUAUUCGGAGGAACACCAAUGGCGUAGGCAGCUAACUGGACAGUAACUGACGCUCAUGCACGAAAGCGUGGGGAUCAAACAGGAUUAGAUACCCCAGUAGUCC
rnacentral:rRNA from 1 species